GACGAACGCUGGCGGCGUGCUUAACACAUGCAAGUCGAACGGAAAGGCCCUGCUUUUGUGGGGUGCUCGAGUGGCGAACGGGUGAGUAACACGUGAGUAACCUGCCCUUGACUUUGGGAUAACUUCAGGAAACUGGGGCUAAUACCGGAUAGGAGCUCCUGCUGCAUGGUGGGGGUUGGAAAGUUUCGGCGGUUGGGGAUGGACUCGCGGCUUAUCAGCUUGUUGGUGGGGUAGUGGCUUACCAAGGCUUUGACUGGUAGCCGGCCUGAGAGGGUGACCGGCCACAUUGGGACUGAGAUACGGCCCAGACUCCUACGGGAGGCAGCAGUGGGGAAUAUUGCACAAUGGGCGGAAGCCUGAUGCAGCAACGCCGCGUGCGGGAUGACGGCCUUCGGGUUGUAAACCGCUUUCGCCUGUGACGAAGCGUGAGUGGCGGUAAUGGGUAAAGAAGCACCGGCUAACUACGUG
rnacentral:rRNA from 1 species